CGGAGGGAUCAUUACCGAGUUUACAACUCCCAAACCCCUGUGAACAUACCUAUACGUUGCCUCGGCGGAUCAGCCCGCGCCCCGUAAAACGGGACGGCCCGCCCGAGGACCCCUAAACUCUGUUUUUAGUGGAACUUCUGAGUAAAACAAACAAAUAAAUCAAAACUUUCAACAACGGAUCUCUUGGUUCUGGCAUCGAUGAAGAACGCAGCAAAAUGCGAUAAGUAAUGUGAAUUGCAGAAUUCAGUGAAUCAUCGAAUCUUUGAACGCACAUUGCGCCCGCCAGUAUUCUGGCGGGCAUGCCUGUUCGAGCGUCAUUUCAACCCUCAAGCUCAGCUUGGUGUUGGGACUCGCGGUAACCCGCGUUCCCCAAAUCGAUUGGCGGUCACGUCGAGCUUCCAUAGCGUAGUAAUCAUACACCUCGUUACUGGUAAUCGUCGCGGCCACGCCGUAAAACCCCAACUUCUGAAUGUUGACCUCGGAUCAGGUAGGAAUACCCGCUGAACUUAAGCAU
rnacentral:rRNA from 1 species